rnacentral:misc_RNA from 1 species
UCCGGCUUAUCACCGGCAGUUUCUUUAGAGUGCUCAACUAAAUGGUAGCAACUAAAGACGAGGGUUGCGCUCGUUGCGGGACUUAACCCAACAUCUCACGACACGAGCUGACGACAGCCAUGCAGCACCUGUGUGUAGGUCCCGUAAGGGAAGGAAUCCAUCUCUGGAAACCGUCCUACCAUGUCAAGCCUAGGUAAGGUUCUUCGCGUUGCAUCGAAUUAAGCAACAUGCUCCGCCGCUUGUGCGGGCCCCCGUCAAUUCCUCUGAGUUUUAGCCUUGCGGCCGUACUCCCCAGGCGGGGCGCUUAAUGCGUUAGCUGCGGCACGGAACUCGUGGAAUGUUCCCCACACCUAGUGCCCAACGUUUACGGCAUGGACUAC